UACGUAGGGGCCGAGCGUUGUCCGGAGUUACUGGGCGUAAAGCGCGCGCAGGCGGCGCAUCGCGCCCGGCGUGAAAUCCCCCGGCUUAACCGGGGAACUGCGUCUGAUACUGGGUGGCUAGAGAUUGGGAGAGGGACGCGGAAUUCCAGGUGUAGCGGUGAAAUGCGUAGAUAUCUGGAGGAACACCGGUGGCGAAGGCGGCGUCCUGGACCAACACUGACACUGAAAAGCGAAAGCCAGGGGAGCAAACGGG
rnacentral:rRNA from 1 species